AGCAACAGCUGAGCUGAGCCUAAGAAAAUAAGCCAAAGAUGCCCAGGUGGUAACGUGGCUUACAGGGAAGUGAAUAGCACCAGCACAGUGUUGAGGCAAUGUUAUUCUUUCCACAAGACAGACGGUGAGAGAGUGACAGCUGAGGAAUGCAGCAGAGCAGAUUGGCCUGCAGAGGCGGCCAGUGCUGUUUAGCAUGUGGCUCAUUUUCAGGUACUGGAUGGAUGAUUCUCUCAAUGCUGAAGCUGCCUGGGUGUUAGGGGCUGAACUGUGUGAACCUCAAAUUUGCUUGUUGAAGGCCUAACCCCCAGUACUUCAGAAUGCAACUACAUGUGGAGAUAGAAUUUUUAAAGAGGUAAUUAAGUUAAAAGAUGGUCAUUAGGGUGGGCCUCAACUCAGUAUCACUGCUGUCCUUAUAAGAAGAGAAGAUUGGGACACAGACAGGCACAGAAGAAAGACCACAUGAAGACACGGGGAGAAGGUGGCCAUUGACAAGCCAAGGAGAAAGGCCUCAGCAGACACCAACACUGCUGGCACCUUGAUCUUGGGCUUACAGCCUCCAGAACUGUGAGGCAAUUAAUUUCUCUUGUUUAAGCCCCCCAGUCUGUGAGACUUUCUUACAGCAGCCCAAGUAGACUGAGUUUGUCUGUCCUAACCAGCCAUGCAGGUAUGAAAUAUUUCCUGAGCAUCUACUUGAUGCCAAGCCUGAGCUGAGCACCAGUGAGGAAGACUAGCAAGGUCCUUUGCCUCCAGGAGCUUAUGUUCUAGUCAGAGAGAAAGACAAGAAAGAAGGAGAACUAUUGAAUAGCAGGAUAAUUUCAGAUGGCUGCAGUGCCUGAGAAGUAGGAGAAAGAGGAUGAUGCAAUGGAGAAAGACGUGGAGAGGGAGCUGCCACAGCCGGGAGCAUCAGGCAAGGCCUUAAUGAGGAGAAGGCUGUUGAUCUGAGAGCUAGGGUACAAGAUGGAUUCACCAGGUGCAGAUCCACCGGCACAGAGUUCCCGGGAGACAGAAGAGCCCUUCAACGAGCAAUGAUCCUGGCCAUACUGCCCCUGCAAAGACUCCGCUCUGUGAAGCUUCAAAAGUACCCUAAAAAUUCUGCAGUGGAAAGAGACCUGGCCCAGAGUCAGAAAGCAAGAUUGCAAGGUCAAGUAUGGCCACUGAGAACUGUGUGAUUGCAUCUGUAAAGCAGGAUAUUGACAAACAAAGGCCCUUGAAGAUAUUUAUAUCUGAUGUGCACUACUGCCCAUCUCUUUCUAACUUCCUGUUCAGUGACAUGACAUUGGAGGCUUGAAAUCAGCCACAUUGCCUUUGAUAUGGAGGAAGACCAUUGUCUUUACUACUGAUGCCUCCAAAGAAGAUACAACCAUUGUCUAUUCUCUCCAUGUUCUUUGUGCAUCAAAGACGCAAUCUGAAAUGGAAACCACGAAGCCAAGGUAGCAAGAAACAGCAUGGUGUAACGGAAGGAGCACUGGUCCAGAGUCAGGAGACCUGGCUUCCAGUAUGUGCUGCACCUGUCUCACUGAUGGGCAUCACACAGCAUCCCUUCUGUUCUCUGGGCCUCAGUUUCCUCAUUUGCUAAGAAAGCAAUCUGGCUCAAAAUUUCUGAAGACUUAUUCGAUUUGGACAAACUGGCUUAAAGACCCACGACGAUGCAAAAGACUUUUCCCAUCCAAAAUUAAAAUUAAAAUUAAGCCUUUACAUGCAAUUUUUGGCUAACUCGUAAAAUUCACAUAAAUGUAUUACCAUCCAAGUGUUACAAGACUUCCGUAACUACCAUUGUUAUGGACACAAAACAAUAUACUCUCUGAGCUGGAUGAAUCAAGAUUUUAUUAAUCAGUCCCUAAUUGUCACACAUUUUGUUUUUUAGAAGAUAUUUUGGGGAGUCAACUGAGCUCAAAAGAAAAUCCCCCUUCAAUGAGAGCUUUCUCAUCCCCACCAUCCAUAAGGAAGAGUCCUCUGGCAUUCCUUGCUUUUGCCAAGUAACCAGAACUUCCUGACUACAGUUGAUUGGUCCAGGGAUGAACCCCAACUUUAAAUGUGUCAAUCAGAUCAUCUCUUCUUCUAAUAGGAAUUGGAUCAUGUGCCAAUAUGUGAAUUUGACACCUAACUACAGUUUGGAAUACAUUGCUGCUGAUCAUUGGGACCUGUUGAAGGUACUCUUUUAGAUAAGUUAUUCCGACGUGGUUGCAAGGAUGGAUUGAGGAAGCAAGGCAGAAGAAGCAAAAAGUAGACUGCUUUUCCUACCACAGGAGUUGAUGGGCCAGGCCAGAACCAAACCAAUACAGCACAGUUAAAGGAAAUACAAUCAAGAGCUCUCUUAGAUCCCAUGCACACACGAGAAGCCUGUGAUGAUUCUCACCUGGCCAGCUGGGCAGUGACCUGCUUUCAAGGAGAAAGCAGUUGCUGAAGGAGGAGAUGCUGCCACCACCUCCCCAGUAGCAUCCUAUGAUCCAGCCUUGUUUUCACUGACCUACAGUUGUCUCUCCUGCUUCCAUUCCUUAGAAUAUGCUGUUCCUUCUAGCUUUCCUUUUUGUCUGCCUAGGGAAUUCCUACAUGUCUGUCACACCAAAAUUUCAGCACUAGACUUCUGGAAAGCUUUCUUUCAUCUCCCUGCCCACUGAACCCUCCCCACAAGGCCUCCCAAUUUUACUUUAGUCUGAGUACCUGCCCACCUCCCUGACAUGGCUGUGAGGCCCUGAGGGGAGAAUUAGUGCCCACUCAUCUUAGAAUCCCAAUCACCCAGCAGAUGGGCUGGUGGCCCAUGUUCUAAAUAACCACCGAUUAGUCACUAUCUGCCCGCCUGAGUGCCUGCAUCACACCGUGUGGGAGAGGGAGUGGAAGCUGGGACUCUGCAAAGAGACAUCCUUUCCUACCCCAUGAGCUGACUGGCCGUGUGGGUCUUUCCAGAAGACAGAAAGUCUCAAGGCAAUAAACCCUCUCCCCAGAAUGGAAGGCUGGGGGUAGGCUAGAUAAAUGCAGUUUUACAGGA